rnacentral:rRNA from 1 species
GUGAGGAAUCUUCCACAAUGGGCGAAAGCCUGAUGGAGCAACGCCGCGUGAAGGAUGAAGGUCUUCGGAUUGUAAACUUCUUUUAUGAGUGAAGAAUAUGACGGUAACUCAUGAAUAAGCACCGGCUAACUACGUGCCAGCAGCCGCGGUCAUACGUAGGGUGCAAGCAUUAUCCGGAGUGACUGGGCGUAAAGAGUUGCGUAGGCGGUUAUGUAAGCGAAUAGUGAAACCUGGUGGCUCAACCACACAGACUAUUAUUCGAACUGCAUAACUCGAGAAUGGGAGAGGUAACUGGAAUUUCUUGUGUAGGAGUGAAAUCCGUAGAUAUAAGAAGGAACACCAAUGGCGUAGGCAGGUUACUGGACCAUUUCUGACACUAAGGCACGAAAGCGUGGGGAGCGAACGGGAUUAGAUACCCCAGUAGUCC